rnacentral:lncRNA from 1 species
UUCGCUGUGGGAUUAAGGUUAUGAAGAGUAUGAUCCACACAAAGUGUGUAUAAUAUAAUGCAAAAUAACUUAAAUUUCUAUUAAUUCUUAGAGCAGCAGCUUCUGAGCUUGAAGGUAUGCUGAAUGGACACAUUAACUUCAAUUCUGAACGCUUGAAGUCACUCCAAUUCACUCCGGUGGACUCCUCCGACUCGUUCAGGUGAUCUGUAGAGGCAGAUUUUGAGGUUAUGCUUGGCCUCUGAAUUGCUCCAUAGCUAGCCAUGUUUUUUAUUAGAGAAAAUUAUAUGCAAAAUGAUUAAGAAAAAAACAGGGAAUUAUGUACUAUCUUUUUCUUUUUGGGGAUAGAAGGCUUAAUUUAUGAGAUGUACUAAAGUACUGCACUAUGCAAU